rnacentral:rRNA from 2 species
GUUUGUUUGGAGUUAUAAAGAAUUUAACCUGCCCCCUGAUUAACUACUAAUUAAAGGGCCGCAGUAUUAUAACUGUGCAAAGGUAGCAUAAUCAUUAGGUUUUUAAUUGAAAUCUCGUAUGAAUGGUUGGACAAAAGAAAGACUCUCUUUAUAUUAAGUUUUGAAUUUAACUUUUAAGUGAAAAGGCUUAAAUAUUCUAAGGGGACGAUAAGACCCUAUAAAACUUUACAUUGUCAUUAAUUUUGAUUGAAUUUAUGAAAUAAAAAUUUUAUUUGAUUAUUUGUUAUGUUGGGGAGACAUAAGUAAAAUAUUUUUUUAACUGCUUGAUAGUUAUACAAUUAUUAGUGAAUAAGUAGAAGAUCCUUUUUAAGAUUAGUAGAUUAAGUUACUUUAGGGAUAACAGUGUAAUUUCUUUUGAGAGUUCUUAUCGAAAAAGAAGGUUGCAACCUCGAUGUUGAAUUAAAAUAUCUAUAUAAUGGAGAGGUUAUAUAAGAAGGUCUGUUCGACCUUGAAAAUUUUACAUGAUUUGAGUUCAAACCGGCGUGAG